rnacentral:tRNA from 1 species
CGGCGUGUAGCUCAGUGGUGAGAGCGGCGUCCUUAUAAGACGUGAGUAGAGGGUUCGAUUCCUUCCACGCCGA